UACGUAGGGGGCAAGCGUUGUUCGGAAUUACUGGGCGUAAAGGGCGCGUAGGCGGCACGGCAAGUCGGGAGUGAAAGGCCUGGGCUCAACCGAGGAACUGCUUUCGAGACUGCCGAGCUAGAGUGCGGAAGGGGCAACUGGAAUUCCCAGUGUAGCGGUGAAAUGCGUAGAUAUUGGGAAGAACACCGGAGGCGAAGGCGGGUUGCUGGGCCGACACUGACGCUGAGGAGCGAAAGCGUGGGGAGCGAACAGG
rnacentral:rRNA from 1 species